UACGUAGGGAGCAAGCGUUGUCCGGAAUCAUUGGGCGUAAGGAGCGCGUAGGUGGCUGCAUAAGUCCGUUGUGAAAGUCAAAGGCUCAACCUUUGAAAGCCGAUGGAUACUGUGGAGCUAGAGUACGGAAGAGGCGAGUGGAAUUCCUGGUGUAGCGGUGGAAUGCGCAGAUAUCAGGAGGAACACCAAUAGCGAAGGCAGCUCGCUGGGACGUUACUGACACUGAGGCGCGAAAGCGUGGGGAGCGAACAGG
rnacentral:rRNA from 1 species